rnacentral:lncRNA from 1 species
AAAGUCAGUACACGAUUAGAACAAUAUUAUUUUAAUUUGAAGCUUAUGUAACCUUCAAUGACCACAACUGUUUUCAUCUGUGUCUAUGUUUAUAAAAUAAUGACCUACUGAUCUUGCUUGAUCUGAUACAAACCAAGAUAUAAAAGAAAUAUUCUCAUCUAAAUUCGAAUUAACGAAUUUGGUAAUUAAGGCAUAUUGACAUAU